AAAGUCGUAACAAGGUAACCGUAGGUGAACCUGCGGUUGGAUCAUUACUGAUAUGACUCGCAAGAGUCUCAACCCAUGUGAACGAUGAGUGUAUCUGGGAGAUGCGUGAUGUGGAGCAAGGUGGCAUUCGUGACAUUUUGUGACACUUGAUUCUCUCCCAACCAAUUAAAUACUAUUAUUGUCUGAUCUAAAUAUAAAGAAACAACUUUUGACAACGGAUCUCUUGGCUCUC
rnacentral:misc_RNA from 1 species